ACGUACGGCCAUAGAUACUGGAAAGCACGGGAUCCCGUCCGCUCUCCCCUAGUUAAACCAGUAAUCGGCGGAUUAGUAGUUGGGUCGGUGACGACCAGCGAAUACCCUCUGCUGUACGUG
rnacentral:rRNA from 1 species